rnacentral:lncRNA from 1 species
GCGGCCUCACCUCCCAGCGCUGUGGAAGGCUGAGCUGCUGUGCUCGGAAGGGCAGACUCCUCCAUGGCUUCUAACUCAAAUGACACAAGGAGUGUCUCCCCGCUGCUGUCCUGGGGCUCCUGGCCCUAGAAGGGCUCCCCAUGAUGCAGCUGUGGCCAUGGGCAGCCUUCCCCCGUCCCCCGGCCUCUCCACAGCUCUGUGAUGUCUGCUAGCCCCAUUUUAUCGAUUCAGACCCCGAGGCUUGGAGGGGACAGAAGGGUCCAGUCUAGGUCUCUCUGAGCCCAGAGCUAAUGCUCCUGUGAGCAGGGGGACCUGCCAGUUCACCACACCCGACAGAAACCACACAGCUGGCACCAGGCACUUGGGUAUUGAACCAGGAAGCUUUAUUUACACAGUAAAAGUAACAAGCAAAUUCCUGAGAGACUAGAGCGGCUGGAGUGCAAGCCACGGCCUGUGCGGGGAGGCCAGGCUGCAGGGGCGGGCAGACCCUGGGCCCCGGGUCUACGCUUUCUGGUCGCCACACUUCCUGAAGCUCGGCAACACCCACAACGUCCAGCUCAGGGAAGCCCCUGCAGCCCCAGAAACAGCCUAUGUGCUAUCUGUCGCCCCAGCCCCCAGGACAGCUUCCCCACACACUGAAAACACAAAUCAUUUGCCAAAAAGACUAUGCUAGAAGGUCAGACUAUCCUAUCUAGGCUACAAGAUCUCCACUUCGGUCUGCCAUUAAAAAAAAAAUCUUUCUCUUCUUUUCUCUUUAAAGAGGCAUGACAGAGGGGUUUGACCAACAGCGUGGACAUGGCAAGGUGUGGCAUCAUUGCCAGUGUGGGGCCAGAGGGUGCCCGAGCCCCGGUGCGCGGCCAGCCUGCUGCAUCCCUGCCGGCUGACGUCUGGAGUGACCGUCAUUCCAGUGACCACCCCCAUAGCCACAGACGGCACGUCAGUGGAAACGGGGGUGCAGCAGGCAUGACACCAAGGCAGAGCCCGCAGCAGGGGGCCCGGGGUUCCACAGCUAGGGAAGCUUGCUCAGACAGGCAGCACACCCAGGGCACGGCCACUCACGCCCCCGCACCAGGAGACCCAUUUGGAAGUUAGGGUUUGUUUUGUUUUCUUUUUAAUGUGGACUUCCCCUUUAUUUAAAUUUUCUUUCAGUGUACAAAUUCACAAAACUGGCUACAAAAAUUUGGUUGAAAAGUAAGGCUUUCUGAGAAUGAAAAUCUGUACGUCUGGUCAGAACAAGCUCCCCACGGGCCCAGGUGCACGUCUGCCCGUGCAACUCCGGCCUCCACCGCGAGUAAGGCAAGAGGGUAUGGCAACGAAAAUGGCGAGGCUGCGGCCCCAGCCCCUGGGCCCCACGGGUGGACGGCAGCCCCUGGCAGUUUGGUGGCUUUGGAAUGAGUGGGGUGCAUGUGGCACUAAGCCCCUCCCCGCCCCCCCGGCUUUCCUGCAGGCUUAGCCCGCUCUUUAGGACCCCAUGAGCAGGCAGAUGGCCUGGCACGGCUUGCUUCUGGCUCUGCCCUUCCUCAGUCUCCCCUCAGAGGCAGGGUUUGUGGGCAAGGCUGUGACAAAAGUAAGGCUCCUGCCACUGCCCCCAGCUGGGGCCAUCAUGCUGGUGGGGGUGAGCUGUCUGCCUGCUGCCCAUGGGGACACCAAUGUGGGGGGCACCUCCUAGGCGAACCUCCCUCCCAGAGGACUGAGAUCACAAGUCCUGCGGCCCGCAGGGUGGAGUGCAGGAACAGGCUGCUCCGGGCAGUGUGGCAGCUUGGAUGAUGGGGUGGCACCUUAUAGAUAGGGUCUACUCUCUCCAGUCAAAACACAAACAUGAAACCAGCUAAAGGCCAUUUCUUUCUCUAAGCAGAAGGGAUAGCCACCAUUUUCUCCCCUGACUGCUGCGUGGUGGGUACAGGCCAGGCAGGCGGGGUUUGAGGAAGCUGGGUCAUUUCUGCCUAAGCGCCCUGGGGCUGGGCUUAACUGGUCGAUGGGACCAGCUUGCGGGGAGGUGGGGAGGUGGCUGUGACUCAGCCAGCUCCACAGCUUGUCCCUUCCUGCCACCAUGCCUGAAUGGGGAGGUGGCAGGCAAGGUUUGAGGGCAGGUCACCCACACCCCAGUCCCACGACAUAUACCUGUCACCAUGUGCCUCCCACCCCAGCCCUAAGCAAAGGUAGCUGGGGGCUGCUGCAUGCCUCAGCUGGCACCGUCCGCCUCCCUCACUGCCUCUGCCUUCCACAGGAAGGCCUGCUAUAGAAGCUGUGUGCCCUCGGUGGCCACACCAGGCAUGUGGUGCCAGGACCCCCCACGCCCAAUGGUACUCUGGGGGCAAGACAUGGCCAUGUGCUCUCCACAUUCACCCAACAACUGCCCUGGCCGCCUCCAUAUUUGCUCUGAGAAGACAUGGUCUCCAUGACCCCCCAGGCAGGGACAGGCCAAGAUGUCUCUGUCUGCUCAGAGCCACCAGCUCUUGGGUUCGGCUGUCCGGGAUCACAGGUAGACAUGCCUCCGGCAGGAGCUACAGCAACCAGAGGUGAGCUGGUUCCCCAGCUCUGGGACCUGCCCAGUGCCCAGCAUACCCCAUGUGUCAGCCACCUGAGCUGGCAACACCAUCUCUCAGGGCUGUGGGGCUGGGGGCUUUCUGCCAGCUCCUUAAAGCUGAUUUUUUAAGAAGUGCCACCCACAUAUUGGGAACUUGAACCACCAUCCUUUUGAUGUAGUAAAAAAAUAAGAUUUAAACAACGUUUCCCAAAAAGCAUCUUUCUUGAGGAGAAAGAAGGUGAGAAGCAUCUGGACUCAACCUGCAGAAGCGAAGCGUUCACUCGUCCAUGAAGACGAGCAAAAGCAAAGUGACUACAAAAGUGCUUUGAACGCGCGUGUCAGCCAACGCAAGGGAGCGCACCAGUUAUUUUUAGCCUUAUGGGAAAAUGAGCCACUUGCUCCUAAGCCAGCCCAAUUGCUAUUGUUUGCAGAAGACGUCAAAUUCGCUAAAAGCCAGAUUCCCAUAGAGCAGAGCCCAUGUGGUGGUGUCUGCAAGGCAGCCGGAGAGGAGCUACAAACCCUGAGAGUAGAGCAAACCCUCAGGGGGCUAGGCUCCUCGGAUGCCCCAGGGUGAGGAGCCAGGGCGGGGUAGGGGCAGGGAGCAUGAAUCCAGCUUUGUGCCGGUGGCUGGGCCUACAACAGAGAUGCAGCCCUCAGGACUGGGCUCCCCCUAAGCUGACAAGGGCGUGGGCUUGUCUUGAGGUGGGUGAUGUGCCCUGGUUACAGCCAGCAGUCCUCAAGGACAAAUGGGAGGUGUCUGGAAUCCUGCAGGGGCCCCUGCAGAGUGGCCAGCGGACGCCCUUCACCCCUGAGUGUGCACAGGGCCCUCAUCUGCCCACCUGCUCGCAGCUCCCGUCUCCCGAGGCCGUUUUCAAGAGGCUGCCCUGGUAUCGUGCCAUCCCUACACUCACCGGAACCAACCACGCUUAUCACUCAGUGACCAGUCAGCCACAGAGAAGGGCUGCCAUCUGCUAACCCUGCCCCAACGGUGGCAGAGCCAUGGGGUCAGCCUCUCCAUGCUGUAGGAGAGGCAAGCGAGUCCGUCUUUUCAGCCAACAGAUCCACCAAAUUUCUACCCAACACGGGAGGCCCUAACAAGCACCCUCCAAAUCGUUCCUUGGGCCCGAGACUCCGGACAUGGCUUACCCUCUGGAGGGCCAGUCCAGCACCCCAGGGAUUCUGUCUCUCACAUUGGAAUUAAGGCCAAAUGGUUCUGGUGUUACAGAAGGAAGCGUCUCCCGAACCUUCCCAAGCCUGAAGCAGGGAGACCUGGGAGAGAAGGCACGGAGUAAAACUGAGUGAAAGAAGCUGCGGGGCCGACUCCCCAAAAGUGAACCUGAGUGAGGCCAAGAACAUGGCAGAUGGCCCCUGGCCCCCACCCCAGGCCCUCCCUGACAGCCCCCACCAGGGGGAUACAGAGCGGUGCCCAGCUCUGCCGGGGACAACAGAGACUGCCCAACAUCCCACAGGGAAAGAGGCAGAAAAGACGCAAACUUCAAAGCUGUCCUCUGGGCUGCAGUAGUUCUGUGGACCUGGUGGCUGCCACGCUCGGGGAGCCGGUGAGAGGCUGACACACCCGCUGUAUGACACAGCCAGGCCAGGCUCUCCCCCAGGCAACAGGUGGGCUCCCUCUCUGGGACCCGACACCACUCAGGAAGCUUUCAUCAGGCCCACGAGUUGGGCUCCCCUUCAAGGGCCCACCUAGUGCCCAGAGUGGGGGCUGUCGAUGCCAGCACACCCCAGCCCUGCCUGGGCCCACACCCCCUCAGUUCUUCUCUAUCUGCUCAAUGUCCAACUCGCCGUCCAGGGAGCAGAGGCUGUUCCCAGGGGCCCCGCGGUCCCGCCAGGCUGCAGCCGGCUCCGCUCUCCUGCCACAAUCCUCGUCCAGGGCGCAGCUGUCUGACUCCUCACAGGACAGGUCCUCCUGGCAGGCGAGGUGGUCGUCGAAGGAAGGGGGAAGAGGCUCAGGGACCGGGGUCCCAGCGGGGGUCCUGCCCCCUGGGCCGGAGGCUGAGAGCAGGGCGGUCCAGGCCCUGGUGUUGCUGACGUGGCGGGCGAAGGGGCUCUGGGGACCGCAGUCCUCUGUCCCUGCGCUCAGGCAGCUGAGGCUGCUGAAGGUCUGACAGUUCUGUGGAGGGGCAGACACACAGGUUACUAAGGGUUACUCCCCUCCCGCAGCCCCAGGACUGCACACCCCACAAAGCGACUAGACCACCAGGCUGUGGCAAGACCAAUCAAGUCCCGGGUUCCUCCUAUCCAGGCAAGGACGGGCCCAAGAGCAAUGUACUCAUGAAGAUGCACCUCCGGCCAAUGAGCGCUCUGUGCUCAUAAAGACACGCGCAAUUCCACUAUUCACCUACUAACUCGGCAAGCACACAAAUUUGAUGCAGACCCAGUUCUGGGGGGCUGUGGUGAAACAGGAAUGCUCCUAACACUUCGUCCACAGCCUUUCUGAAGCGCAACCUGGGGAAAAUAUAUCCAAUUCCUUGAUCAGGUAAUUUCACUACUUGGAUUUUUAUCUUAAGAAAACAUUCUAAGAUGUGUGUAAAAAUUUGGCAACAUACCAUUAAAUGGAAAAGAAGAGAGUAACCCAAACGCCCUACAAUGGUGGUGAAAUCAAUGAUGUUUUUCAAGCAGGGACCUCUAUGCAAACAUAACUGACGUGCCACGAUACUUCCCUUGAGAAGGGAUCUGACUUUCAGGAAACCCAGGCUGUAACUGCCCCACACAGGGCGACACGACGCCCGCUCUACCCACUCUCCACAACCAGAGUGGGAGCCGCAGGCUAGAAGGGGCCGAGCUGAAGUCCUGAGCCUGGUGUAUAACAGAGCCAUGCAGGGAGCUGGGGAAACAUGAGUUCUCGGCCUCACCUGGAGACGCAGAGUCUCUAGAAGGGAGUGGUCCUGUACCCUCCACAGGUGCUGGGGACUGGGAGGACUGAUCUGCUGAGGAGGGGCCAGGCUCCAGGUUCUGGUGCUCACCAGCUGGGGGCCUCAUCUGGAAGAGGUGCAUGAUGCUCCCUGCCUGCCUUGCUGGGCCCUUUGAGGCCCCAGAGAGAGAGUAGGCUGCGCAGAAGCUUCUCCGCUCACCAAGUGUGCUCCCUCUGUGUGCUCCCAGGCUGGCCUGGGGCAGGAGGCAGCCUGGGGCCUGCCCGAGCGGCAGGCAGAGCUUGAACAGGAUUUCAAGGGUACGCAGGCCAGUUCUGCUUGGCGUCAGCUGCCAGCAAUGGGGGUAGGGCUGACACUGUGCACAAGUGGGUGCAGUUCAACGCCUGCUCCCAGGGCGGAGCACAAAAU